UUGCAUUUCAGCACGAGAGGACUCCCGCUUGAUAAACCGUGCUGCCGCGUUAAUAGCAGGCUCAUUUACCGGGACACUGAGCUAGCAAAUCAGAUGCACACAACUUGCCUGUCUGUGCCGUCUCCAAACUCUGCCUCUCUGCAGCAUGUGCUCUUCCCUCCAAGGGCAAUGCAGGUAACUGACUGUGUGCAAUCUGAAGGAGAAGCUUUGUGAUUGCUAGAAAGAGAAAUGUCCUGUCUGGGAGCUAGCAGGCUGCAACUGGAAGAAUCACAGCGGUGUGUGAUGGAGAUGGAGGUGUGCUUGCCAUUUCAGCACUACCUUGCUGUGGGACAGGCGAAGGCAGAGCUGAGGCUUCAGAAGAAGAGCAGCAGCAGCAAAGAGCAAGGCCAAACUGGAAGAAAGCAAAUUGUCUUGAUUAUAAGAAAGUGGUUAGUUAUACAUUGUGUUAUUUUGUCAAUGAAGUAAUUGGAUGAACUUCUAUGAUGUAAAAAAUACACAUUUUAAAAAAAGUCUAGAUAUGGCUUGCAUAGCACCUUAAAAAACAAAGCUUGUGUUCUAAAGAGAAAUACUGAAGCAGCCCAAACCAAUGUGCAUGACCCGUGAGCAAAAAGGAGCUCAGCCUGUUACAGUACUUAAAUGCUGAAUCACUUCCUAUGUUGUGUGCCAGAUAAUCAUUCAAAUCUAUAGAAGCUGUUCCAGUAUGAUCUGAUACAUGAAGAGGCAAGCGGGUUACAUCAGUAGUCCUGAUGUUAUCAGCGUACAGAACCUGCGGUAAGAAAGCCUCUCACUUCUGUGUGCAAGGCAUUGUUCCCCAAAGGAUUUUUCCAACAUUCCCUUCCCAGAUCAACUUUUGCAUUCGUGGCCUGUCACUUUCUCGAGGCAAUUAGCAUGUCCCAGGGCAGUGCCUCCAGUUCGUUAUCUGCUGCCUGAGCAUAACCCUGGGACUGCUUUAGUAGCCCACUCCGGAAGCCCGAGGGCUAUUGCAGACCCUGAGCGAGCGAUUCGAUUGCCUGACUUAGGUGUCCAGUGUUGUCUUCUGAGGUGCUCUGGGGUGCCAAGACACCCAUCCGAGACUGGCAGCACAGGACCACAGGAAACCUGCGCUCCUGCUGAGGAUGCCCUGCGGUUCCUCUGAAGUUACACAAGAUGCCUGUAUUUGGGUAACGCAACUGAGCCUGAAUAGCUGAUUCCUGAGCAUAUGACUGCACCAUGGAAGACUCAGUUGAAAUAUAAGCCAGUGUUUUCCUGCCUGUUAACUUCUCUUGACGCUGUACAUCUCUUCUUGCAGCCUGUUUGCUGAAAAGCAGCUAGAAGAUAAUUACACUGUGCCCCCUCUUUGGCUCUUGUAAGUACAGGAAGCUGCAAUAACAUGCAGAAGUGAAUGGUUAUUAACACACGUAUUCAUUCUUCGUACCGAACGCACACAUCCAUCAGCUUCUAAGCUUGGUUUUCAGUAUCCAUAGAAACUGAAAAGCAUAAAAAUGGCUUUUCCCCUUUCUCUUUCUCUGAUCUGGAGAAGAAUUUCUCAAUCUGUAACGGUACUUGAGAUUUCACUGGCAAGUACUUCUAAUGCACUUCUAUGUCAAGUGCUGUGUGUAACGUAAAAAGCAUGAUCCGUUACCUCAGGUUUUAGCAGCUUUUAGCUUUUUAGGUGUUGCAACUGCAGCAGUGGUUCAGUGUGGGCCUGUUGUUUUACUUCAUUGCACUCACUAGAAAAAGAAAACCCUUGUUUUCCUCAGACACUCGCUCCUCCCUGCGACUAGACGUCUUUGGGUUCUGCGCUUUGACUUCAUAGUUUUACUGCCUUUCGUAGCUUGCUGCAUACCUCCCUUUCCCGAUUGCUACUGAAAAUAAAAAAUUAUGUUUGUGGGAGGAAAUAAAUGGUAAAGUACUGAUGGUACCUGGCAUCUCCAAGCCGUUCCUAUGGCAACGGAGGCUUACCCUGGUACUGGAGCAUCUAUGAGGCCAUAUACAGCUUUUACGCGUGGCAUUUGUGCAAACGUGGAGCACUGUAAAAAUAACACAUUAUGCCAUUUUUCUCUGUUAAACUUCAUACCUAUAUAGAAACACAUGUUCAGUAUUUUUAGGAAUAUGCUUCCUUUGAUAUCAUGACUAAGUCAUUAUUUACUUAUGCUUUGGGAUAGCCAUUGCCAUACCAAACUACUACGGGGAUUUACAAAAUUAAACCAUAGUAUUUUCAAAAAGGAGUAAUAUGCAUACUCAAGUAAUAUGCAUAUUCAAGUAUGUUAUCUUCAGUAACGUGAGCUUUUUAAUGAAAUGUGGAUGUAAGGACAUAGGAUUAAAAACCUCCUUUAUUUUUCUUAACAGCUUUAUAAAUAUAAUCAAAAAAGUUAA